rnacentral:rRNA from 1 species
GAUGAACGCUGGCGGCGUGCCUAACACAUGCAAGUCGAGCGAGACGCUUAGAAUUGACACUUCGGUUGAUUUUCUAAGAAGAAAGCGGCGGACGGGUGAGUAACGCGUAGGCAACCUGCCCCAUACACAGGGAUAGCCUCGGGAAACCGGGAUUAAGACCUGAUAAUACAACCGAUAUACAUGUAUCUGGUUGUCAAAGAUUUAUCGGUAUGGGAUGGGCCUGCGUCUGAUUAGUUAGUUGGUAAGGUAACGGCUUACCAAGGCAGUGAUCAGUAGCCGACCUGAGAGGGUGAACGGCCACAUUGGAACUGAGACACGGUCCAAACUCCUACGGGAGGCAGCAGUGGGGAAUAUUGCACAAUGGGCGAAAGCCUGAUGCAGCAACGCCGCGUGAGCGAUGAAGGCCUUUGGGUCGUAAAGCUCUGUCCUUGGGGAAGAAAAAAUGACGGUACCCUUGGAGGAAGCCCCGGCUAACUACGUGCCAGCAGCCGCGGUAAACGUAG